UACGAAGGGGGCUAGCGUUGCUCGGAAUCACUGGGCGUAAAGGGUGCGUAGGCGGGUCUUUAAGUCAGGGGUGAAAUCCCGGAGCUCAACUCCGGAACUGCCUUUGAUACUGGAAAGCUUGAGUUCGGGAGAGGUGAGUGGAACUGCGAGUGUAGAGGUGAAAUUCGUAGAUAUUCGCAAGAACACCAGUGGCGAAGGCGGCUCACUGGCCCGAUACUGACGCUGAGGUGCGAAAGCGUGGGGAGCAAACAGG
rnacentral:rRNA from 1 species